rnacentral:rRNA from 1 species
CAUGCAAGUCGAGGGGUAAGGAGAGCUUGCUCUCCCUAAACCGGCGCACGGGUGCGUAACACGUGUACAAUCUACCUUUUGCUAAGGGAUAGCCCGAAGAAAUUUUGGAUUAAUACCUUAUAGUAUUGUUUGGUGGCAUCACUGAAUAAUUAAAGCUCUGGUGGCAAAAGAUGAGUACGCGUCCCAUUAGCUAGUUGGUGUGGUAACGGCAUACCAAGGCUACGAUGGGUAGGGGUCCUGAGAGGGAGGUCCCCCACACUGGUACUGACACACGGACCACACUCCUACGGGAGGCAGCAGUGAGGAAUAUUGGACAAUGGUCGGAAGACUGAUCCACCCAUGCCGCGUGCAAGAUGACGGCCUUAUGGGUUGUAAACUGCUUUUAUACAAGAAGAAUAAGGUCUACGAAUAGAUUGAUGACGGUACUGUAUGAAUAAGCAUCGGCUAACUCCGUGCCAGCACCCGCGGUAAUACAGAAGAUGCGAGCGUUAUCCGGAAUCAUUGGGUUUAAAGGGUCCGUACGCGGGCUUAUAACUCAGAGGUGAAAGCACUGAGCUCAACUGAAUAACUGCCUUUGAAACUGUAGGUCUUGAAUGUUUGUGAAAUAUCUGGAAUGUGUAGUGUAGCGGUGAAAUGCAUAUAUAUUACACAGAACACCGAUUGCGAAGG